rnacentral:piRNA from 1 species
CCCAGAAGGCUGAAGAUUUCCAGG